CCUACGGUGGGCAGCAGUGAGGAAUAUUGGUCAAUGGACGCAAGUCUGAACCAGCCAUGCCGCGUGCAGGAAGACGGCUCUAUGAGUUGUAAACUGCUUUUGUACGAGGGUAAACGCAGAUACGCGUAUCUGUCUGAAAGUAUCGUACGAAUAAGGAUCGGCUAACUCCGUGCCAGCAGCCGCGGUAAUACGGAGGAUUCAAGCGUUAUCCGGAUUUAUUGGGUUUAAAGGGUGCGUAGGCGGUCGGAUAAGUUAGAGGUGAAAUCCCGAGGCUCAACUCCGGAAUUGCCUCUGAUACUGGUCGGCUAGAGAGGAGUUGCGGUAGGCGGAAUGUGUGGUGUAGCGGUGAAAUGCGUAGAG
rnacentral:rRNA from 1 species